CCUACGGGGGGCAGCAGUAGGGAAUCUUCCGCAAUGGGCGAAAGCCUGACGGAGCAACGCCGCGUGAGUGAUGAAGGUCUUCGGAUCGUAAAACUCUGUUAUUAGGGAAGAACAAAUGUGUAAGUAACUAUGCACGUCUUGACGGUACCUAAUCAGAAAGCCACGGCUAACUACGUGCCAGCAGCCGCGGUAAUACGUAGGUGGCAAGCGUUAUCCGGAAUUAUUGGGCGUAAAGCGCGCGUAGGCGGUUUUUUAAGUCUGAUGUGAAAGCCCACGGCUCAACCGUGGAGGGUCAUUGGAAACUGGAAAACUUGAGUGCAGAAGAGGAAAGUGGAAUUCCAUGUGUAGCGGUGAAAUGCGCAGAGAUAUGGAGGAACACCAGUGGCGAAGGCGACUUUCUGGUCUGUAACUGACGCUGAUGUGCGAAAGCGUGGGGAUCAAACAGGAUUAGAUACCCAAGUAGUC
rnacentral:rRNA from 1 species